GACUUUUCACCCAUCAAGCCCGGUAGCCUUAGGUACUUCUGCUUUAAUUCCAGAAUUUUCUUCUUAAAACAUGUGAAUUUAAAUGAUUAUGUUCAUUCCUAGAAGCAAAUAGCCUAACUUUUUUGACUGGACAGAUUUUAACUUUCUAAACUCUUCCCUUUUAUCACUUUUAAACAAGAGCUUGGUUGAUUUUAAUGACCUUUUCCUCCCCUUGGUUUUAUCUUGAAAGCUAUUUCUUAUAGAGCAAGAAAUGUUAAAUUUGAUGCUGUCAAAUCAUGACAGUUUAGUAAAAACCUUUUUGCAACAUUAGUUGUAAAAGCUUUUCUGUUCAGAAGGAAUGUGAAAUUUGUUUUUUAAACUACUCCAAGAAUUUUUGUUUUAUCACCACUUCUGCUGAAGUUUAGGAGUUCUGGAUAUUCAUGUUAAGAGUUGACAAAUGUGAGGGAGAUCACUUGCUUUUUAAAAAAGAAAUUAUAUAUUUCUUUCCUUCUGUAAAGCUGUGGGGUAUUUUGUUUUCAAUUUCCAUAGUCCGAUUCAAAUAAGGUGGCAUUAUAGUGUUAUCCUAUGAGUAAAAAGAGAAUGUUACCUUGCAUACAUUGAAUAAAGUUUUGCUUUCUUACAAUCAACAGCUUAAGACUUGAGCUAUUUUUCUAAACAUAGUCAAAACAGAAUA
rnacentral:lncRNA from 1 species